AGAGUUUGAUCCUGGCUCAGGAUGAACGCUGGCGGCGUGCCUAAUACAUGCAAGUCGAACGCGCAGCGAGAGGUGCUUGCACCUUUCAAGCGAGUGGCGAACGGGUGAGUAACACGUGGAUAACCUGCCUCAAGGCUGGGGAUAACAUUUGGAAACAGAUGCUAAUACCGAAUAAAACUUAGUAUCGCAUGAUAUAAAGUUAAAAGGCGCUACGGCGUCACCUAGAGAUGGAUCCGCGGUGCAUUAGUUAGUUGGUGGGGUAAAGGCUUACCAAGACAAUGAUGCAUAGCCGAGUUGAGAGACUGAUCGGCCACAUUGGGACUGAGACACGGCCCAAACUCCUACGGGAGGCUGCAGUAGGGAAUCUUCCACAAUGGGCGAAAGCCUGAUGGAGCAACGCCGCGUGUGUGAUGAAGGCUUUCGGGUCGUAAAGCACUGUUGUAUGGGAAGAACAGCUAGAAUAGGGAAUGAUUUUAGUUUGACGGUACCAUACCAGAAAGGGACGGCUAAAUACGUGCCAGCAGCCGCGGUAAUACGUAUGUCCCGAGCGUUAUCCGGAUUUAUUGGGCGUAAAGCGAGCGCAGACGGUUGAUUAAGUCUGAUGUGAAAGCCCGGAG
rnacentral:rRNA from 1 species